rnacentral:rRNA from 1 species
UACGAAGGGGGCUAGCGUUGUUCGGAAUUACUGGGCGUAAAGCGCACGUAGGCGGACUUUUAAGUCAGGGGUGAAAUCCCGGGGCUCAAUCUCGGAACUGCCUUUGAUACUGGAAGUCUUGAGUAUGGAAGAGGUAAGUGGAAUUGCGAGUGUAGAGGUGAAAUUCGUAGAUAUUCGCAGGAACACCAGUGGCGAAGGCGGCUUACUGGUCCAUUACUGACGCUGAGGUGUGAAAGCGUGGGGAGCGAACAGG